rnacentral:rRNA from 1 species
AUGCCGGAUGCUCCGACUCCUCGCAUGGGGUGUCGGGAAAGAUUUCAUCGGUAUGGGAUGGGGUCGCGUCCUAUCAGGUAGUCGGCGGGGUAACGGCCCACCGAGCCUACGACGGGUAGCCGGCCUGAGAGGGCGACCGGCCACAUUGGGACUGAGAUACGGCCCAGACUCCUACGGGAGGCAGCAGUGGGGAAUAUUGCACAAUGGGCGCAAGCCUGAUGCAGCGACGCCGCGUGCGGGAUGACGGCCUUCGGGUUGUAAACCGCUUUUGAUCGGGAGCAAGCCUUCGGGUGAGUGUACCUUUCGAAUAAGCACCGGCUAACUACGUGCCAGCAGCCGCGGUAAUACGUAGGGUGCAAGCGUUAUCCGGAAUUAUUGGGCGUAAAGGGCUCGUAGGCGGUUCGUCGCGUCCGGUGUGAAAGUCCAUCGCUUAACGGUGGAUCUGCGCCGGGUACGGGCGGGCUGGAGUGCGGUAGGGGAGACUGGAAUUCCCGGUGUAACGGUGGAAUG